UUUUGUGAUUAUAUCCAUCUGAAGCUAAGCAUGUUUGAGCCUGGAUGGUACUUGGAUGGGAGACCAGCUAGGAAAGCUGGGUUGCCUCUCAAG
rnacentral:rRNA from 1 species